rnacentral:lncRNA from 1 species
GGCGGAUCCCCAGAGCCCAGGGCCGGUCAGGAGCUGGAUAGGCUGGGCUUGGCGGUGGAAGCACCAGUGGCAGAAUAUUAACUACCAACUCCUGGACAAGAGGAAGAGCCAUCUGGUUCCCCUGCGCCCGUAGCAUCCUGCAGCCCGGAAGGAAGUCCUUCGUCCUGUCUAACCACAGUCCCUGCUGAGCCAACGCCAGGCCUUUCCUCUCAUUCUGCCUUGUGGGCAGAGGGCAGGAGAUGAGCUGGCCCUGCAGCAGCAACCUAGACAGAGAUCCCAGUGAGGACCUGAUGAAAUGGGGGUGACAACCCUCUGGCAGCCCCAGGGAGGUGAACCUCUGAAGCACAGAGAUAAUCACUCCUCCUAGAGGCUUCUGCCACAUCCGUUAUCUCAUUUAAUCCUGUAAUAUCCCAUCUUACAGAGAGAAAGUCAGGCAGGUCCAGGGAGGAAAAUGUGGCAGAACUGGGACCAGAACCCAGGUCUCUUGAUAAAAGAGAAAUAAUCACAACAACUAAUAUUUGUUGCACAUUUACUCUCUGCCAGGUACUGAGCUAAAACUGCAUACAUUUUCUUUUUUAAGCCUCAUCACAACCCUGUAUGUUGGGUAUCCUCAUUCCUAUCAUCCUCAGAUAAGGAGAGUGAGGCUCAGAGCCAUUAAAUGACUUGCCCAAGGACACCCAGCUUGUUGGUGGCAGAGCUGUGUGUGAGCCAGGCAGUCUGGCGUGCUCAGCUCCACACCCAGGGCCCCGGGGUUCCAGAGGAGUGUCAUGGAUGUCUGUUUUCCAGAAUGUGAGGAAACAGGCUCCAGGUUCAUCACAUGGUGGUCCCAAGGCCGACUUGUGCAAGCCAGGAUGACAGGAGGACGGCCUGGGAGCACUGCUCGAUCCCAUAGCCCUUCCCUGUGGCUGAAGAUGAUCCAUCUUCGCCCUGUCUCCUGAGGUCUCCGUGUUUCUGCCCUUCACGGCCCAAAUAAAGCAGCUUUUGCCUCUCUCUGGCCCUCUCCACUUUGCAGGGUGAUGAUCUCAGUUCCUUCCAUUCGCAUACACUGUUAGAC